GGGGUUGUGGCUCAGUGGUAGAGCGCUCGCCUACAUGUGCGAGUCACCGGGUUCGAUCCUCAGCACCA
rnacentral:tRNA from 1 species